rnacentral:tRNA from 1 species
GCGUCGGAUCGAGUGGAUUGAAUAGCUUGUGGUGCUAGCGGGAGCAAUCUCGUGGAGGUUCAAGUCCUCUCGACCGCACCA